AACGCAUAUUGCGCCCUUUGGUAUUCCGAAGGGCAUGCCUGUUCGAGCGUCAUUAUCAACCAUCAAGCUUGGCUUGUAGUUGGACUUAUUGGCUGGGGGGUUGCCCCGACCGGUCCGAAAGAUAAUGAACGGGUGCUCAGCGGCCUUAGAUGCAACGAGCUUUCCAAGCACGCAUUGAACGGUCGUUAGGCCUGGGUCUUCACUAUGUUUUUCUACGGUUGACCUCGGAUCAGGUAGGAAUACCCGCUGAACUUAA
rnacentral:misc_RNA from 1 species